AGGCGUGGCCCCCGGCUGGCUAGGGAACCGAGCGCGGCGCCGCGGCUGCGCAUUCCGUGCGGGACGCCGCUGUCUCCCAAGGGUCGGGAUAAACUAGGGGGCGGUUGAUCUGAAAGUCUUAGCCACGACUAAUAGUCAACCGCCCAGGUGCGACCCGCAGCAGCCUUGGCGAUGCAGCUCGUUCUCCAGACGCGGGUCCACACCGGCGCGUCCUCGCCUCCAGGGACCGAUCGCUGUUCUCCGUGGCCGGUGACUUGGGGCGCCAGUGAGAAGCAAGUAGUCAAAGAAAACAUCCCGGGCAAACCGGCUGACCGAAAAUCCACUGUCGGGGUAGGGAGGCGCCCUCUACGGGGAUGAAGUCAUCGCUACCUUUGACUCUUUGAUCCUAGAUAACCGACCAAGACGUUUCCAGCCUAAUGCCUGACGCCUUUUGCUUCCUCCAUCCUGGUCCUCAGUCCCUGAACUCCCAGGACAGAAUUCCUGACCUCCUUGGUCAAGCCUUGGAUCGAGAAAGAGAAACUAUUAGUGUAAACAAACCAAUCAACCCCAAAACCAAAACUGUGCCUGCCAAUAGCCCAUUUCUUGGCCAUUGAUGGUGCAUGAAGAGAAAUGGAUCCAAUUAAGAAAAUCUUAAAAUCUUAAGGAAUAAGAAAAUGUAAUAAAGAGAAAGACAAUGUCAUGCUCAGGGAGCUAAUAUGAAUCCCAAAGGAAUAUUGACUGUUCAGGCUCAAGUUAAAUUACAGCAGAUCGAAAGUGAGGAGUUGAGUGGCAUCUUCUUUUCUCUUACUGUCGACCUUGUUAAAUGGGGAGUCCACACCCCUUGCCUACUCCUCCCUCCUCAACCCCGUGACAGUGGGCCUCCCCCCAACUGUAUUGAGCAUGCACUCUAAAACAGUUACUUUUUGAGAAGUCAAGUCUGGUGACCCAUUCUCAGCCCCUCAUCCCUUUGAUCUCCUUGGCAGCAUCCUACCCUAAGGCCUUCUCUAUGCUUCUCUGGACUUCUCUGCUGACCCUUCUCUUCCUUUGAGGACAGUAACAAGGUUUUUCCAACUCUCGAUCUCCCAGUAUCCCAAAGAAAUACCUUCUGAUUUCAAACUGAACCCAUCCAGAUGUCGUGGGACCUGAAGCUUGUAUAACUCCUGGGGGAACUUCUUAAAGGAAAGCAAUAAAAACUUACAAACAUAAUACUAGACAUGUAUCCUUGGAAGGGCCCAGGGAAAAUGAGGGGCUUGGAAAUUUGAGCUUCAAGGUAUAUCUCCGGGUUUCUCUUCAAUGUCAGGGACUCUUGAAUCCAUAUUAUCGUUGUAAAAUUUCAAGUCCAAAUAAAAAUAUCCAAAAAUCAACUCAUCUUUCCCUCAAAA
ensembl:lncRNA novel transcript, antisense to FHDC1